rnacentral:lncRNA from 1 species
CAUGAAUCCAAAUAUGACUACUCACUCAUUAUUAUGGUAGAUACUAAAUCAUUAGUUGAUCUAAGUCUAAACAUGAUUAAUGAUCAAAGCAAUCAAAAAAACAAAAAAAGAAAAUGAUCAAAAUUUGAUCUUUCACCCAAAAGUGGCUUUUGAUUAGAUAGAUAACAAGAUAAUCCCCUGAGAUUAGGUUUAUUAUAAUGGCAUAGAAACACAAGGAUAAAAUAGACGUGAAGGCUCUCCAAAGUGGCUCUUGGUCUCGCCAUCUCCGCUCAGUCCGUCCCCGUCGAAAUCAAGCUUCAGUCACGACCAAUCUCUGCUCAACCUCCAUGGCGUCAUUGUCUCCAUCUCCGCCGCUUGCGCCACCACGAACCCCGUCUUCACUGCGGCGUACUCUGAUCAAUCCGAGGCCGACGCCGGCUGUGCUCAGAAUCGCCGCCGUGGUCUCAGCUCGAGACGUGACAGCACGUCCUGAAGCCCCGGAGCCGUCGCUUCUCACCGUCGCAGCCAUCGCUUCUCGUCACGGAGAAAAGAUCGAACAGCAAUGGAGAUGUUCCAUCAAUUUGCGACCUUGAUCCCUGGAGUUUCCUCUCUUUUCAAUUCGGCCCCAAACAUUUGGAUUUGCACAAAGGACCUCUCGAAUUGACCCAGAAUCUUUCAAUUGAACAUUUCAGACCCCUCAUAUUUGCAUAAUGGUCUCCCGUCUCUUGAUAGUUCUCUAUUCGGCCACAAACUUUGUAAAUUGCACGAUUAACCUCACAAUUUCAGCCCAAACU